UGUUAAAAAUUUCAUUCAAUUGUACCAUUAAAAAUUGGUAUAGUUGACGAUAUAACCAGAUAAUGACACGUGACAUAGGACCAAUUUUUAACAAUAGAAAUAGAUGAAAUUUUUAAUA
rfam:Gossypium raimondii Chr11_contig_1303, whole genome shotgun sequence.